rnacentral:rRNA from 1 species
UAAAUGGCCGCAGUAACCUGACUGUGCUAAGGUAGCAUAAUCAUUUGUUUAAUAAAUUUAAACUAGAAUGAAAGGAAAAAAGUAUAUUAACUGUUAAUUACAAAUUUUUUGAAAUCCUUUUUAAAGUGCAAAAACUUUAAUUAGUAACAUAAACGAGAAGACCCUAAAAAUUUUAAUCUAUUUUAUUGGGACAAUACUAUUAUAUAAUUAUUAUAUGUCAAACAUUAACUAUGCUAAUUAAUCAAAUAAAAUUACUUUAGGGAUAACAGCAUAAUAACUAUAAAGAGACCUAAUCUAAAUAGUUGCUUGUGACCUCGAUGUUGAAUCAUUUUAACAAAACUUGCAAAAGAGUUUUACCUAUCGUCUGUUCGACGAUUCUACAUUACGUGA